rnacentral:tRNA from 1 species
CGCUACGGACUUAAAAUCCGUUGGCUUAAGUGACCGUGAGGGUUCAAGUCCCUCUUCCCCCA